CGGUGAGUAACGCGUAUGCAACCGUACCUAUCAGAGGGGAACUAACCGGCGAAAGUCGGACUAAUACCGCAUAAAACAGGGGCACCGCAUGGUGAUAUUUGUUAAAGAAAUUCGCUGAUAGAUGGGCAUGCGUUCCAUUAGGUAGUUGGUGAGGUAACGGCUCACCAAGCCGACGAUGGAUAGGGGAACUGAGAGGUUGGUCCCCCACACUGGUACUGAGACACGGACCAGACUCCUACGGGAGGCAGCAGUGAGGAAUAUUGGUCAAUGGGCGGGAGCCUGAACCAGCCAAGUCGCCGUGAAGGAAGAAGGAUCUAUGGUUCGUAAACUUCUUUUGCAGGGGAAUAAAGUGCAGGACGUGUCCUGUUUUGUAUGUACCCUGAGAAUAAGGAUCGGCUAACUCCGUGCCAGCCGCCGC
rnacentral:rRNA from 1 species